GUCAUGGCUCAGUGGGACAGCAUCUGCCUUGCAAGUGGAAUGUCCCAGGUUCAAACCCCUGCCGGAACUCA